rnacentral:rRNA from 1 species
GAUGAACGCUGGCGGCGUGCUUAACACAUGCAAGUCGAACGGAAAGGCUCCUGCUUGCAGGGGUACUCGAGUGGCGAACGGGUGAGUAACACGUGGGUGAUCUGCCCUGCACUUCGGGAUAAGCCUGGGAAACUGGGUCUAAUACCGGAUAGGACGAUGGUUUGGAUGCCAUUGUGGAAAGUUUUUCGGUGUGGGAUGAGCUCGCGGCCUAUCAGCUUGUUGGUGGGGUAAUGGGCUACCAAGGCGUCGACGGGUAGCCGGCCUGAGAGGGUGUACGGCCACAUUGGGACUGAGAUACGGCCCAGACUCCUACGGGAGGCAGCAGUGGGGAAUAUUGCACAAUGGGCGCAAGCCUGAUGCAGCGACGCCGCGUGGGGGAUGACGGCCUUCGGGUUGUAAACUCCUUUCGCUAGGGACGAAGCGCAAGUGACGGUACCUGGAGAAGAAGCACCGGCUAACUACGUG